rnacentral:rRNA from 1 species
AUGACUCAGCCUGAAUGGCAGCUUGCGAUGGCCGAAGAGCUUGCUGCCCUUGAGCGCUCUGGCACAUGGGAUCUGGUUUCCCUCCCUUCCGGUGUCCGUCCCAUCACCUGCAAGUGGGUCUACAAGAUUAAGACUCGCUCUGAUGGUUCUCUUGAGCGCUACAAAGCGCGCCUUGUGGCCCGUGGUUUUCAGCAGGAGCAGGGACGCGAUUAUGAUGAGACAUUCGCUCCUGUGGCCCACAUGAUCACUGUUCGCACUCUUCUUGCUGUUGCUUCUGUUCGUCAUUGGUCUAUCUCUCAACUUGAUGUUCAGAACGCUUUUCUUAAUGACGAGUUGCGUGAGGAGGUUUAUAUGCAGCCACCACCGGGGUACUAUGCUCCUGAUGGUUUGGUCUGUCAACUUUGUCGCUCCCUCUAUGGUCUUAAACAGGCCCCUCGAGCCUGGUUUGAGCGCUUCGCCUCUGUGGUGACUGCCGCUGGCUUCUUGCCCAGUGAUCAUGAUCCUGCGUUGUUUGUUCACACGUCUCCUCGUGGUCGGACUCUGCUCCUUCUCUAUAUUGAUGACAUGAUCAUCACUGGUGACGACUCUGACUACAUAGCCUUUGCUAAGGCUCGCCUUCGCGACCAGUUCCUCAUGACUGAUCUUGAUCCACUUCGCUAUUUUCUUGGGAUUGAGAUCUCCUCGACCUCUGAUGGCUUCUACAUCUCCCAAGAAAAAUAUAUUCAGGAUCUUCUUGCUCGCACUGCUCUCGGUGAUGAGCGCACAGUUGUGACUCCUAUGGUACUCAACGUUCAGCUUCGUGCUUCUGAUGGUGACCCUCUCCCUAACCCCACUCGCUAUCGUCACCUUGUUGGCAGUCUUGUCUAUCUUGCUGUUACGCGUCCUGAUAUCUCCUAUCCUGUUCAUAUCCUGAGUCAGUUCGUUUCAGCCCCCACCUCUGUCCACUAUAGUCAUCUCCUCCGUGUUCUACGAUAUCUUCGUGGCACGCUCUCUCAGCGCCUUUUCUUUCCCCGCUCCAACUCUCUUGAGCUCCAGGCCUACUCUGAUGCUACCUGGGCUAGUGAUCCCUCUGAUCGACGCUCGCUGUCUGCUUAUUGUGUCUUUCUUGGUGGCUCUCUUAUUGCCUGGAAGACAAAGAAACAGACUGCCGUUUCUCGCUCGAGUACAGAGGCUGAGUUGCGAGCCAUGGCUAUGCUGACGGCUGAGGUGAUCUGGUUAUGGUGGUUACUUGAGGACUUUGGUGUGUCUGCUACUACCUCGACUCCCUUAUUGUCAGACAGUACUGGUGCUAUCAGUAUUGCGCGUGAUCCGGUGAAGCAUGAGCUCACCAAGCACAUCGGUGUGGAUGCCCACUUUGUGCGUGCUGCUGUGCAGGAUCAGACUCUCGCUCUUCACUAUGUGACCUCUGAGUUACAGUUGGCAGACUUCUUCACGAAGGCACAGACUCAAGCGCAGCAUAGUUUUCUUCUCUCCAAACUCAGUGUUGUUGAUCCACCAUGA